rnacentral:rRNA from 1 species
GCCCAGCCGUAAACUAAUUUACAACCCAACCGCCAGAGAACUACGAGCUUAGCUUAAAACUCAAAGGACUUGACGGUCCCCCACAUCCCCCUAGAGGAGCCUGUCCUAUCAUCGAUAAUCCCCGCUAAACCUCACCCCUCUUAGCCUUUUCAGCCUGUAUACUUCCGUCGCAAGCCCACCACGUGAGUGGAACUCAGUCGACCCAACUGCUAUUCAGCACAAACGUCAGGUCAAGGUGCAGCAUAUGGAGGGGGAAGAGAUGGGCUACAUUCUCUAAUAUAGAGUACACAGAGAGCUGCAUGAAACCCAGCUACAAAGGUGGAUUUAGUAGUAAAGUAGGAAUAGAGCGCCUCCUUUAACCCGGCACUGGGGUGCGUACACACCGCCCGUCACCCUCUUCAAGGCCACUAACAAGUACUUAACACUCUACAGCUGUAAGAAGAGGCAAGUCGUAAC